rnacentral:rRNA from 1 species
UUGUGCCUACGGGACGCAGCAGUGAGGAAUAUUGGUCAAUGGGCGCGAGCCUGAACCAGCCACGUCGCGUGAGGGAUGACGGUCCUACGGAUUGUAAACCUCUUUUGCCGGGGAGCAAGCGUGCGUUCGUGAACGCGCGUCGAGAGUACCCGGAGAAAAAGCAUCGGCUAACUCCGUGCCAGCAGCCGCGGUAAUACGGAGGAUGCGAGCGUUAUCCGGAUUUAUUGGGUUUAAAGGGUGCGUAGGCGGGAUGCCAAGUCAGCGGUAAAAAUGCGGUAAUCAACGCCGUCGA